rnacentral:misc_RNA from 1 species
CGUUGCGACUGAAAUGCAUAACAAUACGGUGCGACCGAAAUGAUCUGUAUUCGACCUAGUUUUAGGAUGAUUCGGAUUGUGAGGUUAAAAUAUUCAUAAUGUCAGCCAGAGAGUUUCCAAACACCUUAGACGAUUAUGUUACAACCUCUACAGAGCUAAUUAGCAAGUCUGGCAAGUUUAUAGAUGAGAUAUCAGAACGAUUGAAUUCUGGAGUCACUAAGCUGGUUGCUAAAUUGAAUGAUGGUCUUCAAAGAGAUUCCAGUAGUGAUGGAGACUACUCAAUAUAUACUGGAAAAACUGGUAUUGCAUUGCUUUAUCUGCACCUAUACAACACUAACUCAGAUGAAACGUACCUCACAAAAGCUGAAGAAUAUAUAAGUAAAUCGUUGAAACACUUAAAAGGUCGUAGGGCUACUUUUCUAUGUGGUGAUGCUGGCCCCUUAGCUGUAGGGAGUGUGGUAUACAACAAAAUGGGAAAGAAGCAGAAAUCUAAGGAUUGUGUUGAAAGAUUACAGAAACUGGUUGAUAUUGUAUUAGAUGAGAGCAUACCAGAUGAGUUGCUAUAUGGCAGAGCAGGGUACCUCUAUGCAUUGCUAUUUGUAGAGCAUUUCCUUGGUGAGGAAACUAUUCAAAAAAAUAUCAUUGAAAAGGUAACAAUGAUGGUGUUGGAUUCAGGGAAAGCAUUGGCAAGAAAAGAGAAGUCCAAAUCACCCCUGAUGUACAAGUGGCAUGAUAAGCAGUAUCUUGGAGCAGCUCAUGGCCUGGCUGGAAUUUACUUUCUACUGUUGCAGGUAGAUCUUCCGGUGAUAAGCAGUCACCUAGAUGACGUGAUUAAGCCAAGCAUAGAUUAUUUGACUCGACUUCAAUUUCCUUCAGGGAAUUACCCUUCAUCCCUUGGGAAUGAUACUGAUCGUUUAAUACACUGGUGUCAUGGUGCUGCUGGAGUUGUUCACCUGAUGCUCCAAGCUUACAAGAAGUUUGGUGACCAGAAAUACCUAGAUCAGGCUGAAUCAUGUGGUAAUGUCAUAUGGGCUAGAGGUUUGCUUCGCAAAGGCUACGGACUUUGUCAUGGAACCAGUGGGAACGGUUAUGCCUUUGUGGCAUUGUACCAAGUCACCGGUAACCAGAAGCAUCUACACAGGGCUUGGAAGUUUGCAGAAUGGUGUCUUGACUAUGACAAACAUGGCUGCCGACAACCUGACCGCCCUUUCUCAUUGUUUGAGGGCAUGGCAGGUGCUAUAUACUACUUAAGUGAUGUUUUGCAUCCUCUCAAAGCAAAGUUUCCAGCAUUUUACCUUUAAGAUUUUGUGCCAUUUCCUAAUUGUAGGCCUAUUGUCUCUCGCACUACAAAAAAUGUUAUCCUGUAUUAUAGUUGUACACAUUGUAUUUUAUUAACGUUACAAUGUACUGUAUACAAAUACCGAGCUUACUAAAUACUCAUGUGAUCUUGCGCUGGCUGUUUUGAUUGUGUCCUGACAUAUGUCCCACCACUUAGACUGUAAGUGGAUACAACAUUUUGUUUUGUGCUGAAUUAGUUGCAUGACAGCAUGACUAAGAAUAGUUUCCAUGGAGCAGAGGAGGUUGCUCAUGGAGAGUGACUGUGCUAAUUAAUUUUCCAUAAAUAACAUACUGUACUCUACUGUAAAACCAAAUACUACAGACAGAGCUUAAUUAAAUACAACAGUGAGGUCAGUUCCGUCAGUCCUGACAAAAAUAUGUUUAUUUUUGCUAUAUAAUGUGAGGUCAGUUCCGUCAGUCCUGACAAAUCUAUUUUUAUUUUUGCUAUAUAAAGUAAAUACAUAAAUUUUGUACUUGCUAACACAGGUGGCUUAGAAUAGCUUAAAAAAAUGAAUCCUUGCCAAGCCGUGGGGCUCAUAGGGCUGGAGCUUAUGCCCUGUAGUGUGAAGUGGAUGAGAGUGCGAUACUCCCCCUGGGUGGGAUGUUGCUGGUACCCAUUUAUACAGCUGUGUAGACUGGAGCAUUGUACAUAAAGUGCCUUGCUCUAGGACCCAAGCGAAAUGCACAGAGUAGUAUUCAUAAGAAAUGAGUAUGACAAUUUGUGAAUUGCAUAAUAUCUCUGGACUUAGUCAUUGAAACAUGUUUUUUUUUCAGAUAGAAUGCUCUUCCAGAAGAGAAGUGCCUUUAAGACCCUUUAUUACAUAUAACAUUUAUUUCUAAGAUUUCUACAAAUAUUAUGUUAAAAAAUUAACAACUUCCUUCUAAUGUUUUGGUUUCUUAUUAAGCUAUAUGGAUAUUUAAUGGUUGUAACAAGAUUACUUUUACAAGUACUACUUUCACAAGUAGUGCUCCUAUUUUCUUGGUUAAAUAUUUUGUUUACCCUAUACUUUUUUCAUUGUAUAUAUAUCACCUAGAGUUCAUUCACUAGGAACUGAGAAA